UACAGAGGUCUCAAGCGUUGUUCGGAUUCAUUGGGCGUAAAGGGUGCGUAGGUGGCGCCGUAAGUCGGGUGUGAAAUUUCGGAGCUUAACUCCGAAACUGCAUUCGAUACUGGCGUGCUUGAGGACUGGAGAGGAGACUGGAAUUCAUGGUGUAGCAGUGAAAUGCGUAGAGAUCAUGAGGAAGACCAGUGGCGAAGGCGGGUCUCUGGACAGUUCCUGACACUGAGACACGAAGGCCAGGGGAGUAAACGGG
rnacentral:rRNA from 1 species